GCUUCUAAAGAAUAACAGUUUAUUCAUUGGUCUUAGGAACCAAAAACUCUUGGUGCAAUCCCAAGUAGAAGCU
rnacentral:tRNA from 1 species